UACGGAGGGAGCUAGCGUUGUUCGGAAUUACUGGGCGUAAAGCGCACGUAGGCGGCUAUUCAAGUCGGGGGUGAAAGCCCGGGGCUCAACCCCGGAACUGCCCUCGAAACUAGAUAGCUAGAAUCUUGGAGAGGCGAGUGGAAUUCCGAGUGUAGAGGUGAAAUUCGUAGAUAUUCGGAAGAACACCAGUGGCGAAGGCGGCCUGCUGGGCUAUGGCUGACACUGAGGCGCGACAGCGUGGGGAGCAAACAGGG
rnacentral:rRNA from 1 species